rnacentral:rRNA from 1 species
CAAGUCUCAGUACAGACUGUAUUAAAGUGAAACCGCAAAAGGCUCAGUAAACCAGUUUUGAUUUACUUGAGUAAACUUGAUUGUCUUUGGAUAACUGUGGUAAUUCUAGAGCUAAUACAUGCAACAAAGCCCUGACCUCUCAUGGAAAGGGCGCUUUUAUUAGAUCAAGACCAAUCGCCCGGCAAGCACGGGCGUUGCGUUGUUGAACCUAGAUAACCCAUCAGAUCGUAUGGUCACAGUACCGACGACUUAUCUUUCAAAUGCCUGACUUAUCAACUGUCGAUGGUAGACUCUGUGUCUACCAUGGCUCCUACGGGUAACGGGGAAUCAGGGUUCGAUUCCGGAGAGGGAGCCUGAGAAACGGCUACCACAUCCAAGGAAGGCAGCAGGCACGCAAAUUACCCACUCCCGGCACGGGGAGGUAGUGACAAAAAAUAACGAUACGAGACUCUUUUGAGGCCUCGUAAUCGGAAUGAGUACACUUCAAAUCCUUUAACAAGGAUCCAUUGGAGGGCAAGUCUGGUG